UAACUCGACAUCAACAAAAAGUACGUUUC
rnacentral:sRNA from 1 species